rnacentral:misc_RNA from 1 species
UAAGAUUUUUUUUUUUUUUAAUUUGGGAAAUGAAAGUGUAUAAAUUAAAAUUCUUUAAUAAGGGAACUGACAGAUGAGAGUAUGUAGAUAUGAUUUGAUUGGCUGAGGAGCAAUGGUAGUUACCCGUUCCCUGCAACUAGGAGCGGUGGUAAUUGAAGAUGUUGUCCACGCGCGCAUACUAGCUGGGUAAGACUCUCCAGUUACAGUGAUUAAACAGUAAAGAGUCCUUUUUUGACCAGAUGAAUG